AGUGAACGCUGGCGGUAGGCCUAACACAUGCAAGUCGAACGGCAGCACAGUAAGAGCUUGCUCUUACGGGUGGCGAGUGGCGGACGGGUGAGGAAUACAUCGGAAUCUACUUUUUCGUGGGGGAUAACGUAGGGAAACUUACGCUAAUACCGCAUACGACCUACGGGUGAAAGCAGGGGAUCUUCGGACCUUGCGCGAUUGAAUGAGCCGAUGUCGGAUUAGCUAGUUGGCGGGGUAAAGGCCCACCAAGGCGACGAUCCGUAGCUGGUCUGAGAGGAUGAUCAGCCACACGAGAACUAAGACACGUUCCAGACUCCUACGGGAGGCACCAGUGUUGAAUGUUGGCCAACGGGCGCAAGCCUGCUCCAGCCAUAUCGCGUGGGUGAAGAAGACCUUCGGGUUGUAAAGCCCUUUUGUUGGGAAAGAAAAGCAGUAGGUUAAUACCCCGCUGUUCUGACGGUACCCAAAGAAUAAGCACCGGCUAACUACGUG
rnacentral:rRNA from 1 species